CCAUUAGCAUUAUCUGUCGGAAAUGCGAUUCCGCUAACAUCUCCUGUUGCACAUCAGAUAGUGAUUCUUUGAUAAUUUCUAUCCACCUCAAAUUGAAGUAAUUAUUAAUUAUUUUAUGUCCGCUUGGUUCGUACCAUGUCUGAUACAACUGCUCUUGCGAACCUAACUCUUUCAUCAUGUACAAAAAAAAGGAUAAUAUGUCCAAACCCAUACUACGAAACCUACAUUAUAUAAUACAAUGGCCGCAACCAUCAGCAUCA
rnacentral:lncRNA from 1 species